CUGAGCCUGUCCAUGGGAUGCACAGUGCCUACAGGAGCCCACAAGGACAGUGACAUCAGAAAUGACAUCACAAGAAAGCCCUCCAAAGGGAGAAAAGGGAGGAGCAAAACAUCUGUUCUCUUCCCCAAAGGCCAGAGCCUUGAGUAGGGAGAUGCUCUGUCUUGUGCUGCCUGAGUCAGCCAGGGGCACCCAGCUCCUCUGCUGUGUGGCCCUCCGUCUCCUGGAAGCUGGAAUCAGGCAUCGAGAAGUGCAGUCCCAGAAAUAGGGAAGCCUCACACUGAGAUAUGACCUACAGAUGGAACAGCAGUGUGCACAGGACACAUGAAUGCUGGGGCUAGAAUCACUCAGAGCCCGAGACAUAGGAUCACAGGGACAAGGAAGAGGGUGACUCAGAUGUCACCAGACUCAAAACCAUGACUGCAUGUACUGGUAUCGACAAGACCUGGGACAUGGUCUGAAGUUAAUCCAUUAUUCAUCUGGGAUAGGAAGCACUGAC
rnacentral:lncRNA from 1 species